AUUGAACGCUGGCGGCAUGCCUUACACAUGCCAGUCGAACGGUAACGGGCCUUCGGGUGCCGACGAGUGGCGAACGGGUGAGUAAUACAUCGGAACGUGCCCGAUCGUGGGGGAUAACGAGGCGAAAGCCUUGCUAAUACCGCAUACGAUCUACGGAUGAAAGCAGGGGACCGCAAGGCCUUGCGCGGACGGAGCGGCCGAUGGCAGAUUAGGUAGUUGGUGGGAUAAAAGCUUACCAAGCCGACGAUCUGUAGCUGGUCUGAGAGGAUGAUCAGCCACACUGGGACUGAGACACGGCCCAGACUCCUACGGGAGGCAGCAGUGGGGAAUUUUGGACAAUGGGCGCAAGCCUGAUCCAGCCAUGCCGCGUGCAGGAUGAAGGCCUUCGGGUUGUAAACUGCUUUUGUACGGAACGAAAAGCCUUCUUUUAAUACAGGAGGGUCAUGACGGUACCGUAAGAAUAAGCACCGGCUAACUACGUG
rnacentral:rRNA from 1 species